rnacentral:rRNA from 1 species
UACGUAGGGGGCAAGCGUUGUCCGGAUUUAUUGGGCGUAAAGAGCGUGUAGGCGGCCAGUUAGGUCCGUUGUGAAAACUCGAGGCUCAACCUCGAGACGCCGAUGGAAACCAACUGGCUAGAGUCCGGAAGAGGAGAGUGGAAUUCUUGGUGUAGCGGUGAAAUGCGUAGAUAUCAAGAGGAACACCUGCGGCGAAGGCGGGUUGCUGGGCCGACACUGACGCUGAAGCGCGAAAGCCAGGGGAGCGAACGGG